UACGAAGGGGCUAGCGUUGCUCGGAAUCACUGGGCGUAAAGGGUGCGUAGGCGGGUCUUUAAGUCAGGGGUGAAAUCCUGGAGCUCAACUCCAGAACUGCCUUUGAUACUGAGGAUCUUGAGUUCGGGAGAGGUGAGGUGGAAACUGCGAGUGUAGAGGGUGAAAAUUCGUAGAUAUUCGCAAGAACACCAGUGGCGAAGGCGGCUCACUUGGCCCGAGUACUGACGCUGAGUGCACGAAAGCGUGGGGAGCAAACAGG
rnacentral:rRNA from 1 species